CUUCCGCAGCCUUGCUGCCGCCUUGCAGUUCUAUCUCAGACUGCCGUGCUAGCAAUCAGCUAGACUCUGUGGGCACAGGACCCUCCGAGCCAGGUGCCGGAUAUAAUCUCCUGGUGUGCUAUUUUCCAAGCCCGUCGGAAAGCGCAGUAUUCAGAUAAAUAUGUACUCAAAGCAGGUGGCUCAAUCCACUUAUCAGCAUUUGGCAUACCAGGGUUCAAUGGGUAAUCACAAAGAAGAACGGGGCAGAGCUAGAGAACAGAGAGAACGCUUUUUGUGACUCAAGUGUGCAGAAGGUAAUCAACUCUUCCUAAGGAUCAGAUCUGGGGAAGGAGAGCUGCUACAGCUACAGUUUCUCCUUGGUGAUGAGACUUGAAGUCACGGCCAGCUUGGCAACCUGGAACUGGUCUGCAUGUGCCAUUGCCCAGUGCCCCCUGAGAUUGUGAUGCAGCUGAGCACACACUUGCCUGGACCAGCAUCCUGAGCAACUCCAGCCUUCCUAGGCAUAGAUCAUGGUUCAGUGGGGCCCUCUCUC
rnacentral:lncRNA from 10 species